CGGUCAACAAAGAGAGGCAAAGCCGCGAGGCGGAGCGAAUCUCAAAAAAGCCGUCCCAGUUCGGAUUGCAGGCUGCAACCCGCCUGCAUGAAGUUGGAAUCGCUAGUAAUCGCGGAUCAGCAUGCCGCGGUGAAUACGUUCCCGGGCCUUGUACACACCGCCCGUCACACCAUGAGAGUCGGGAACACCCGAAGUCCGUAGCCUAACCGCAAGGGGGGCGCGGCCGAAGGUGGGUUCGAUAAUUGGGGUGAAGUCGUAACAAGGUACC
rnacentral:rRNA from 1 species